ACUCCUACGGGAGGCAGCAGUGGGGAAUAUUGCACAAUGGGCGCAAGCCUGAUGCAGCCAUGCCGCGUGUAUGAAGAAGGCCUUGGGUUGUAAAGUACUUUCAGCAGUGAGGAAGGUGGGUAUGUUAAUAGCAUAUUCUAUUUGUACGUUAGCUGCAGAAGAAGCACCGGCUAACUCCGUGCCAGCAGCCGCGGUAAGUACGGAGGGUGCGAGCGUUAAUCGGAAUUACGUGGGCGUAAAGCGCAUGCAGGUGGUUGUUAAGUCAGAUGUGAAACGCCCGGGGCUCAACCGUCGGAAUUGCAUUUGAAACUGGCAAACUAGAGUACUGGUAGAGGGGGUUAGAA
rnacentral:rRNA from 1 species